rnacentral:tRNA from 1 species
UAGCUCAGUUGGUUGAGCGCCGCACUUGUAAUGAUGAGGUCCCGGGUUCGAUACCCGG